AAAGUCGUAACAAGGUUUCCGUAGGUGAACCUGCGGAAGGAUCAUUAACACGUGGUUAUCCAUGUUCAACCCUUCGUGCUGGUGCGUGUGGCCUCCAAUCUAUUUUGAAUGGAAAUUUUGUUAGGACGAACUCGGAUUUCCGAGGGAAUGGCUUGUGUAACAGUUGGAGUUGCGAAGUACAAGUAAUUUCGACAGUGAGAAGCUUUCCAUCCUAUUGCAGUUUCCAUUCAUAGACUCAAUUGAUUCCAACAAAAAACCCAGUAGUUAACUUAUUUCUAACUGAACACUUAAUUGCUCUUUCUUGACCUAACGGUUUUGAAACCAAUUAUUUUAUUAAAACAUUUGACAACUCUUAACAACGGAUAUCUUGGUUCUC
rnacentral:misc_RNA from 1 species